CGUGGGUUCCGGCUGUGGGUAUUUUAUACCCAACACUAGUCCCCCUACAUCCGAGUUUUGAAUUUCAAACGAAGAAAGUACAUAGAAGUACAGCCAGAACCGUCCCUUUGAAUCCCGCGCCCUGUCGCUCCCAGAUAUUUUGGCAUUAAAUGAGCGCGUGCCGGGGUCUUUUCGAAUUGGGGCGGAACGAGGGGACGCUUCGAAGACCCCGCAGGUACCCUGGCCUAGGUACGGCACAAUUAUGGCCCUGCCAACCGCCAGCCGCCUUCAGCCGUCUGCCACGGGGAGUGGGACACGUGCCGAGCGCGGACUGGCCUGGGGGGAUUCGAGAUCAUUAUGGCGCCGGAUCCCAGGGUCUAUUUAAACCCGUCCUCCCCCCUUCAGGCGUCCUACUCCAUUUUUGAUUUUCGCUGGCAUCUGUCAUCUCNN
rnacentral:lncRNA from 1 species